GACGAACGCUGGCGGCGUGCUUAACACAUGCAAGUCGAACGGAAAGGCCCUGCUUUUGUGGGGUGCUCGAGUGGCGAACGGGUGAGUAACACGUGAGUAACCUGCCCUUGACUUUGGGAUAACUUCAGGAAACUGGGGCUAAUACCGGAUAGGAGCUCCUGCUGCAUGGUGGGGGUUGGAAAGUUUCGGCGGUUGGGGAUGGACUCGCGGCUUAUCAGCUUGUUGGUGGGGUAGUGGCUUACCAAGGCUUUGACGGGUAGCCGGCCUGAGAGGGUGACCGGCCACAUUGGGACUAAGAUACGGCCCGGACUACUACGGGAAGCAGCAGUGGGGGAUGUUGCACGAUGGGCGGAAGCCGGAUGCAGCAACGCCGCGUGCGGGAUAACGGCCUUCGGGUUGUAAACCGCUUUCGCCUGUGACGAAGCGUGAGUGACGGUAAUGGGUAAAGAAGCACCGGCUAACUACGUG
rnacentral:rRNA from 1 species